rnacentral:misc_RNA from 1 species
CCGGGAUGUUCAUAACCCUUUGUUGUCCGACUCUGUUGCCUCCGGGGCGACCCUGCCUUCGGGCGGGGGCCCCGGGUGGACACUUCAAACUCUUGCGUAACUUUGCAGUCUGAGUAAACUUAAUUAAUAAAUUAAAACUUUUAACAACGGAUCUCUUGGUUCUGGCAUCGAUGAAGAACGCAGCGAAAUGCGAUAAGUAAUGUGAAUUGCAGAAUUCAGUGAAUCAUCGAAUCUUUGAACGCACAUUGCGCCCCCUGGUAUUCCGGGGGGCAUGCCUGUUCGAGCGUCAUUUCACCACUCAAGCCUCGCUUGGUAUUGGGCAACGCGGUCCGCCGCGUGCCUCAAAUCGACCGGCUGGGUCUUCUGUCCCCUAAGCGUUGUGGAAACUAUUCGCUAAAGGGUGUUCGGGAGGCUACGCCGUAAAACAACCCCAUUUCUAAGGUUGACCUCGGAUCAGGUAGGGAUA